GGGGUGUGCUCAGAGCAGGGGGCGCGAAGAAUGCCUCCUCUGUUUACAACACACCCAACAGUAAUCUGGGGUCAUU
rnacentral:snoRNA from 1 species